UUGUUGGUAAAUCUCGUGCCAGCCACCGCGGUUAUACGAAUUGSCCCAAGUUGAUAGAUAUCGGCGUAAAGCGUGGUUAAGGAAUAACCAAAGACUAAAGCCGAACGUCCUCAAAGCUGUUAUACGCUUCCGAAAGAACGAAGUCCCCCAACGAAAGUGGCUUUAAUACCCAACCUGACCCCACGAAAGCUGUGAAACRAACUAGGAUUAGAUACCCCACU
rnacentral:rRNA from 1 species